CGCCAGCUGCUGGAGGGGGAAACACGAGGGAGCGUGGCCUGGCAGGUGCCCGGGGGAGCGGGAUCUCUCCGCUCUUCUGCCUCCUCCCAAAAGAGCAGUCCCCGGGACCGGCCGGCAGCUGGAGGACAAAGUACAGCCGGGGCGAUGUGCAGGAGAUGUGAGCGGGGCAGUGGUUUUGGCCCGCGCUGGGUUUCGCUGCGCCGAAAGCCGGUGCUUUUCUCCUGCAGGCGAAGGGGGUGUAUGGCUCAAAUGCGUCCUUGCUCUCCUACCUGCAUCUCCCUAGGUCUGUUCAUGGAAGGAUUCUGCAGCGUACGGACGCGCUAGGCAUUUUCAUAGAAUCCCUGCUGAAGACUUAGUAAGAUCCUCUGUACUGCAAAAUACCCCUUGCGUUGUGGGGCAGAGUAGUGGGGAAAAGGAGAUUUUUGGGCCGUCUGUGUUUUGCGGAAGUCCUGUGGUGCUAAGUUUGCACGGGGAACACCAGAGGCGGACCAAAGAGGAGCAAACCGUCCCCACUGCCCUGCUCUCCCAGGCUUUCCCAGCUCCACAUUCGUAGGCAUCCUUUGCUGAAGGCGGCUAGCAUUUUGUGAGGGAGGCUCCACGAGGGACCACAGGCACAAGCGGCUCUGGCCACACUAGGGAGCGAAGCAAAACAUUUCUCACCGGCGCAGCCACUUGUUCAAUUGCAGCGAGGAUGCCUCGAUGCAGAUUAGGAACCGGCAGUCACAUCGGUGAAAUUAUGUGCCGGUGCCAUUCACGGUGUAAUCAAGCCAAACCCCAAACCCCGCCCCCCCCCCAUGAAGGCAGUAACCCAAACUUAACGAAGAAAGGCCAAAAUCACUCCGGUGACAGGUAGGUGUAGCUCAAAUGACUUAUACCAAAUCUCGAGUGUAUGCAGUAUUAAGAUGCUGCGGAAAGCAGAAUACAAUGUCUCUGUGGCCGCUUUUCAGGCCAGGCAGAGCGGCAGGUUUUUGCACCCCAGCCCAGGGCAUGGGUUAGCAAUCACCUUCCUUUGCGUUUCCCCGCUUUCUUAGACACUAUUUUUGCCAUUAACAUGCUGAGCUGCUUUCUGGAGUUUUAAGGUGUUGGGUGCUGAUACAGUGAGCACCUCUUGUAUCUGUUUAAUCCAAUAACAUAACUCUGUUUUAAUCUCCAUGUCUGGGUCACAGGGUUUAAAAAAGACACUGGGCCAAAUCCCCAGCUUGGCUACAACAUGUGGAAAUCUACUGAGAAGGCACGGAAGUCAGAAGAGAUUCGACGUAUUUGCACCCUCUAAAAAAGCUUUCAAGGGGCAGGGAUGCAAGUGCCUAAUUUCGCAGAUGGAUGCAUAUUAACACAAGUGUAUGGCAGAGUUAGAUCAGAUUUCUAUCAGGUGAGGUGGAGGGGGGGAGGGCUACCACACCAGGAUCUAAAAUAAGCUCAUCAGCAAGUUCUCAUUAAUUUUAAAAUUGAAAGGGAUUUAAUAUGUCUUGCUUUUUUUCAGGAGAAAAAACUCGUUUCUUUUCAGCACGUGGCUGCUAAAGGGAACAUGGCGUUUCAUGGACUCAGGACCAAGGCAGGGCAAGAACAAAAAGGUUUUUCAGGGAUUGGGAAGAUUUUACAUUUAAACAUUAAAAUAAAAAAGGCAAAAUUUAUUCAGGCACAAAGUCCAGGAGAAAUCUAGGGGACAAGUGGACAGCACUGUCUGUAAAGAAGGGUGUAAGCAAGGAUGGCAAAAAGAUGGCCUGAGUGAGUCCAUGGCAUUAAUGAUUCUCCAAACAUGAAUUUCCUAUACAAAGCCAUGUGGGGGGCAAACUUCUGGGUUCCCCUGCAGAGCAAAGAAUCCUGAGCUUGAAAAAGGGAGGCAGAUUUUGUAAGGGAUUUGCACAUCAUGUAGUGACUCUGGAUUGCAGCUUUUAAGCAUUACUAAAUCGGGGAGUAGAAUUGUUGCUAUUGCUGUUACAUACCAGGGUAUCUCACUAAUCCACACAAUCCACUAAGUUGCUGUAGUUUUAGUCUGUGUUGAUUUUAGAUGAAAUUAUGGCCUGGACAGUUAAUUUUUCUUAGUUUAUCCAUUCAAAUCAUAUAUAAAUAAGAUAUCGAACAGAAGUCAAAACAUGACCCGUGUUUUUGGUAUACUCCCCAUCAUGUGAACCUGCCGGUGAUGGAGCCCUGCACCCAGUUUACAAGUCAAACACAAAGGCAACUAAAACCCACAGGUCUUCUUGAAAAGUAGCCCCAUUGGCAUUAAAUUCUCUGAUUUUAAUGCUAUGGGUGGCCUAUUCUGCUUAUAUUUGAGACUGCCUAGCCAUUAUGGGAUUGCCUCCACUGGUCCUUUCCUUAUAUCAAGCUAAUUACAUCUUAAUUUGAGGCACUUAGCCAGACUGAAAGGCUGGAGCGGAUCCUUUCCACACACCAGUCGAGUUUAGAAAUGCCUGUUUCUUUACAGGGGCUGAUUCCUAAAGCAAGGGGCAAACCCCGAGGAACCAAGCAGCCUGGAACCAAAGUGGUCACGCUGGCUUUUGGACAAAGUGAAGUGUCUCAAGUUAAUUGACAGUCAGCUACCUGGAAAUAAAAAAACUCUCACAUACCCAAAGGUUUUCACCAGGAUUUCCAAGAGCUCCCGAGCAAUUUAAAGUCCUUGAAAGGAAUGCAUUAUAGAAUGAAAAAUAUAGGUAUUAUUAAAGAAUGUCUUCAAAGCCAGCCAGUUUCAUAAAGAUGAGCUAAAAACCAAUAACAGGUACUCUGUCUCCUGCUGGAUGCUGUAUGAACCCUAUGUUUUGCAUUUUUGAAGUCACUUCUAAACCAAUGGGUUUUUUUCUUCACUGUUGCCGUUGGGAAAAACGGUAAAAGAGCUAUGCAUAAAUCAUAGAAUCAUAGAAUCGUGUAGAUUGAAAAGACCUUUCAGAUCAUCAAGCCCAAAAUGAGGUUGAAGUAAUCUAAUUAAAAAAAUAAACAGCAUGCUUCAAUUCCUAUCCAGUCAAUUGGGAUCAAACUUAAAAAAAAAAAAAAAUAGAUAAAAAUUCAGAAAGGAUUUUGAAGGCCGACUGUUUCCCUUUAAGAUUAAUGAUAAACACACUUGUGUGUUCAAGGGAGAACAGACCCAGUGUUAUGUAACAGGAUAAAGAAACAAAAUCCUUUUUUCCUUAAAUUAAAAUAACCAGUAAUGUGCGUGGAUUUUAGUCAAUCGCCGAAAAUUCAGGAAACCCAUUUUCUUUCACAAUUGCAUUCCGCAUGCUAAAAUUGAUGUAACUUUUAAAGAGAAUCACAACAAUUAAAGCCCAAAAAGAUUUGUUUGUUCUGUUUGACCACGCUUUGCCAAUAGCAGAUUGUUCCCCGAGGAAAAUUCUGCGGCACUUGCCCUGUGCAAAAAUCCAAAUUUGUGCUCAUCUUUUAAUUUUAUGUGGCAUUAGUAAAUCCAGUUAUUGCACUUCCCAGGUUUUUUUCUUUUUAAUCUGCUUACCUAGUACUAGAUGUAUGGUAACUUAUCUCUUUUAAUAAUUUUUUGCCUGAACUAACUAUUACAUAACAGUCCUUUUCAAAUCUUGUAAUGCCUGCCUAAAUUUGCCAAAAAUGGGACAAGAUCAACAGGUAAUGGAUUUUUUUUUUAAUGUUGGUGUUGUUCUUUGCUGGCUCAAGCAUAUAACAUUUGCAAAAAAACACAAAAGAAGAUAAUUUUCUACCAUAUACUCUGCAUUUUCCACUUCUGCAUUUUACAAAAGCACUCAUACCAGAACUUCUGCAUCAGAAUUUGAUACGUAAAGUUCCUCUUUAUCACGUGAAUUCAAUUUUCCAAAAGAAGGCAAAUGAUACUAUUAAUAACCAAGAUACAAGCCCUGAAAAGGCUAAGUCUCUGAACGUACUUGCUGCAACAAAAAAGUCAUCUUGUUGGAUCUAAUUCUGGAGUCAUUAUCUGACACGGCGCAGAACAGUUUGAGAUUUGCAUGGAAAGGCACUGCCGAGUUAGGGCGAUACUCUCGCAUGAAAGCAGCAUGACAGCAGCAUGUAUGUGCUUGGCUGAGCUGCUCGGAGCUUUGGCUGCAGACCACAGUAAAUCCUGCUUAUGUUGGCCUGUCCUUGCCCAUGUCCACGCUUCAUGUUUUCAGUCCUGAAAGUAAAGCUUCAAGUCUGGGCAGUUUAAGUGAUGUUCCUUCAAUGGAGUGGGUCCUCUGCAAGGGCCACUCCAGCAGCACAAGGCGUGCUUGGAGACGAGGCACAUUGUGAACGUGCCCCUUUCCCUGCUGAUAACGUACUCACUGUGCUGCAGCUAAAUAUUCUGCUGCUGCAUGGCCUGCAGAGAGAUUUCCAUGGCCUCUCAAGCAGAACAGCUCCUGCAGGGCCGUGAUGGUUACAUGGGUGCUGCAAAGGUGAUGUGAAAGUUGGGAAGCCAUACAAGGAUGUAGGGUAGGAGAUGGGGAAAAAGUUGUGGUAGAACUCUGAAAGCAACAAAAGGUCAGCAGGGUCUGAGGCUGCCGGGCAGAACCACUUCCAUUUCCAUUUGGAGCUGGUCACUGAGCUGGGCAGGCUUGGCCUGACCCCAUCCUAGGUGACAGUGGGCAUCACAGUGGAAAACAGUCCAGAAAUUUAUGGUGGUGAGCUCACUGAUGCAAUCGAGCCCUCUCGACUUAUGUGACUGAUCCAGGCAAGCCGACGGAUUAAACUCA